rnacentral:rRNA from 1 species
UACGGGGGGUGCGAGCGUUGUCCGGAAUCACUGGGCGUAAAGGGCGCGUAGGUGGCCUGAUAAGGGUGUGGUGAAAGUCCGGGGCUCAACCCCGGAUCUGCCGUGCCGACUGUUAGGCUAGAGUACUGUAGGGGCGGGCGGAAUUCCGGGUGUAGCGGUGGAAUGCGUAGAGAUCCGGAGGAAGACCGGUGGCGAAGGCGGCCUGCUGGGCAGUUACUGACACUGAGGCGCGACAGCGUGGGGAGCAAACAGG